AGUGAACGCUGGCGGUAGGCCUAACACAUGCAAGUCGAACGGCAGCACAGUAAGAGCUUGCUCUUACGGGUGGCGAGUGGCGGACGGGUGAGGAAUACAUCGGAAUCUACUUUUUCGUGGGGGAUAACGUAGGGAAACUUACGCUAAUACCGCAUACGACCUACGGGUGAAAGCAGGGGAUCUUCGGACCUUGCGCGAUUGAAUGAGCCGAUGUCGGAUUAGCUAGUUGGCGGGGUAAAGGCCCGCCAAGGCGACGAUCCGUAGCUGGUCUGAGAGGAUGAUCAGACACACUGGAACUGAGACACGGUCCAGACUCCUACGGGAGGCAGCAGUGGGGAAUAUUGGACAAUGGGCGCAAGCCUGAUCCAGCCAUACCGCGUGGGUGAAGAAGGCCUUCGGGUUGUAAAGCCCUUUUGUUGGGAAAGAAAAGCAGCAGGUUAAUACCCCGCUGUUCUGACGGUACCCAAAGAAUAAGCACCGGCUAACUUCGUG
rnacentral:rRNA from 1 species